ACCGGAUGCGGAUCUCGAAAGCCUGUCCCAGUUCGGACUGGAGUCUGCAACCCGACUCCACGAAGUUGGAUUCGCUAGUAAUCGCGCAUCAGCCACGGCGCGGUGAAUACGUUCCCGGGCCUUGUACACACCGCCCGUCAAGCCAUGGGAGCCGGGGUACCUGAAGUGCGUAACCGCGAGGAUCGCCCUAGGGUAAAACUGGUGACUGGGGCUAAGUCGUAACAAGGUAAC
rnacentral:rRNA from 1 species